AACGGUCUAUACCUGCGGUACCUGCGGAGGGAUCAUUAUAGAGUGGUAAACCCCCCGUAAAAAGGGGGGGACCCCCUGUCCUUUGCAGGCUCCUUUUUAAGGGGCUUUUUUUUGACUUUCUGCUUCGGUGGGGUUAUCCCACCGGAACAACCUCAAAACUCUGAUAAAAAACUUUUCUGUCUGAGAACCUUUUUUAUAAUAAAAAAAAAACUUUUAACAACGGAUCUCUAGAUCGGAAGA
rnacentral:misc_RNA from 1 species